ensembl:lncRNA
AUGUCUAUGCAAUUUCAAGAUGAUACAGAUGGUAUACCUCCUUCUGAGGCUGAAAGUAGGAAUGAAAGGCCCCAAAGGAUAAAGCACCCUUCAGCCAAGAUGCUAGCCCAUCUAAUAGAUGAAAAGGAGCUCCUCCAUGUGAGGUUAGGUUCGGCAUGGGAGCGAAUUGUAACAUUGAUGGACAGAAUUGAGAGCUUGGGUAUUACAAGGGUGCCAUCCAUAUUACAGACCGACCUUGAAGAGACCUUCGGUCUCUGGAGGGGUUUGGUGUCUAAGAUAGUCCAGGUCCUCGAGCGCAUUAACGCCAAGGAUUCAGAGUUAGAAAUAGUGAGUGUCUUAGCUGACACUAAUGAGAAAGAAAAUAAGGUGAGGGCAAUUCUAGAUGCCUUGGAAUUUAGUUCUCCACCUGUUAAUCUAAGGUCUGAGCCAAAAGGAAAUCAGUCUUCCUUAUGCAGCCAUGAGACCAAUCUUUUAAAAUCACCUGCUGUGGCACUUAGUCUUAAGUCCAACCGCUCUAGCCAGGUAUCUAAACUAAGGGAGUGUGCAUCAUCUAAACAUAGCCACUCUAGCAAGUCUUCUGCUGCUGGGAGUGCCAUCUCUUCCCUAGCUGCCUUGCACAUUAAGGAGGCUGCACGUCUGGAGCUAAAGAGCAAGGUAGCGGGGGCGGAGGCUGAUGCUAAGGCAGCUGAUCUCACCCUUCCCUUUAAAGAAGAAGAGCAACGACUGCAAAGCAAAAUGCAAAUAGAACAGGCCCAAAGGCAAUGUGAAAUAGAAAUGCUUAGAAUAAAGAUGGAUGCCGCAGCCAAAAGGGUAAGGGCUGAGACUUUGGCCAAAGCCCUAAUUGAGCCACUCACAGAAGAAAAUGUAAGCCAGUUACCAAUACAGGAUCCUUCUGCCAAAGUGUUUGCGCACCUUGGCAGCAUGAACAGCCAGUUUUCGGAUGAGGAACAGGGAGACUUCUCUCCUUACCCAGAGCAGGGCCCCAAAGUCACUUUUGAGUUUCCUGCAGAGCAGAGCGUCAUAGCGGGGAGCUCACCCUUGCUCGAGCUACCUGUGCCUCCUGCUAAAACCCUAGGUCAGUCAAUCAGGGCCUCAAGGCCGAGUGCUAGUUGGCCCCUACAGACAGCUGCACAGGGAACCAUCGAUUCGUCAGUGGUCGAUGUCAUCCCUCCAAGAGGCCAAAGGUUGACGCAAGGUACACGGUGGGAGUCCACUCCACAACAGCAAACUCCUCAAUUGUUCCCUUCGACGCCAGAGUCCCAGCUUGUCUCCAUCAUCAGAAGCCCCAGAAGAGAUCUUAAGGACAAGGGUGUCGAAAAGUUUUCGGACAAGCCUGAGGAAUUUCUUCUCUGGAAGGCCACCUUCCAGAGAGCAAUCAGAGACUUAAAGUUAUUGCCUGAGGAAGAACUGACUCUUCUGGCUGCAUGGUUGGGCCCAGCCUCAUCCUCACAAGUUAAGAAGAUCUACGCAGCCCACGUAGCCGAUCCCGACAAAGCCCUGGAAAAGGCCUGGGCCAGGUUGCAGCAGAGGUAUGGGGCCAGCACAGAGAUUGAAGCAUCUCUUAUGGACAAGCUCCAAAGGUUCCCAGCUUUAAAACUCAAAGACUUCAAACUCUUGUGGGACCUUAGCGAUCUCCUUACGGAAUUAGAGUCGGCCAAGGAGAAUCCAGAACUGCCCGGUUUGAAGUGCCUCGAUCAGCACCUGUCCCAGAGGCAGAUCUUGACCAAGCUGCCCUUCACUUUGCAAGAACGCUGGGGACAGGAGGUCUUCAACUACAAGGAGGCCCACUCCCAGGCAUACCCUCCAUUUUCUCAUUUGGUCCAGUUCAUCACAAGGGCGGCCAGAGAAAGGAAUGAUCCGCAGACGGGCCUCCCCACCUUAUACCAAGGGACCCAGCCAGAGAAGGCACCUGAAGUGGACAAGAAACCACCUAGAGAGGCCAAUAGACCUGUCAGCGUAAAGGCAGUCGAAACUCAACUCAAGACUGACGAACCCAGGUCGGAGGUAAAAGAGUUGCUUUGCCCUAUUCACCAAAAGCCUCACAGCUUGGCCAACUGCAGGGAGUUUAGUAGAAAGACAUACAAAGAAAGGCAACAGCUAGUUCAAAAGCAGGGAAUCUUCUUUAGAUGCUGUGGAGCAACUCCACACUUUGCAUCCAACUGCAAAGAAAACAUCAAGUGUGAGAAAUGCAACAGCCUCAAGCAUUGCACCGCAAUGCACAACUCCAAUAUCAUCUCCCACCCCAAAGAGAACGCUUCACCAAAAGAAAAGUCAGCAGUCGAAGACACCGACAAGCCAGCCGCACCAGAGAUGCAGGUGGAAGUUUCAGCAGUCGCCUGUACAGAGCUGUGUUCUGACUCGCACCAGUACAGAGUUUGUCAUCCUAUCUGCCUAGCGGAUGUAUAUCCAGCCAAGAGCCCUUGGCUUAGAAAGAGACUCUAUGUGGCCCUGGAUUCACAGAGCGACGCCUCCCUGGCUACUCCAGAGUUCUUCCGCAUGUUUGACCUUAAAACCAAGAUGGUCGACUACACUAUGACUACGUGUGCAGGAAAAAAGAAGUUGCAGGGUCGCAUAGCAUUUGGCUUCGUUGUCUCCUCUUGCGACCAGAAGAGACAGUUCAAGUUGCCAGACCUGAUUGAGUGUUCCUCUAUUCCCCGGAACAAAAGGCAGAUUGUCACCAGAGAAGUUGUGGAGGCUCAUCCACACUUGCGAAGGCUAAAGAAUGUUAUACCAGCCUUUCGGCCAGAUGUGGACAUUGCCCUUUUGCUUGGCUCGGACUGCCCGAGCUUGUUCUGUGUGAACGACCAAGUUAAAGGACCUCCAGGUGCACCUAUCGCACAACAAUUGCCAUUAGGCUGGACAGUCAUAGGCCCAGUGUGCAUAAACAAGAUGCACCCACUAUCGUCGUUGGACUCCAAUCAAGCACAGGUGCUUAAAGGUGGACGUCCUACACUUGUGCGCAGUUGCCUAAGUCAUAUCUCGGUCCACUGCCAAGCAAUAACUCCAGAGUAUUCCUCCAUCUUCAAAGUCUCUGAGAGAGACGAAGCCACAGCGCUCUCGAAAGAUGAGCAAAGGUUUUCGGACAUUAUGAAUGCUCAAGUCUCACGAAGUGCAGAGGUGAAAGCCUGCAAAUCAACCACAGAAAUCAAGAUGGGCCAAAGAUCUUGUCUGGAACGACACCAUUUUGAACGUUUUUCGGAAUGGCACAGUCUUCUUAGAGCAGUUGCUAGGCUUAUACAUCGCUUAGUCUGCAAAGAUAGUCAGCCUUUGCAAGUUCAGGACAUGUUGAAGGCUAAGGGAGUAAUAUUCAGGUCAGUUCAGAGGCAUGAGUUUAGUCUAGAAAUAGCCAGGUUAGAACAAGGGCUUGACACCCCCAGCCGGAGUUUCUUGCGUGAGUUAAACCCAUUUCUAGACAAGGAGGGCAUUUUAAGAGUGGGAGGGAGGUUAGCUAAGGCUAAACUCAAAGUGUGUACAAAGAACCCCAUCAUUGUACCCCCCAAUAGCCAUAUUGCUUUGUUGUUGGUUCGUCACUACCAUGAGAAAAUCCAUCAUCAGGGUAGAACUCUAACUGAGGCAGCCCUUAGAAAUGAAGGUCUGUGGGUGGUAAAUGCUAAAAGUUUGGUCAACAGUUGUAUUUUCAAAUGUGUCAAAUGUCGGCGACUCAGACGAAACUGUCAAAGUCAGUUGAUGGCAGAACUACCUCAGGAUAGGACUUUGACAGACCCACCCUUUUCCCAUGUGGGAAUCGAUGUGUUUGGUCCUUGGGAGGUUGUCACUAGGAAAACCAGGGGUGGUGUUGUAAAUAACAAGAGGUGGGCAGUUUUGUUUACUUGUUUUGUUUACUUGUUUAGUAAUACGAGCUGUCCAUAUAGAAGUCAUAGAAGGGAUGGACACUUCAUCAUUUUUAAACGCAUUAAAAAGGUUCAUAGCCCUCAGAGGGCCAAUUAAGUCAAUUCGGUCGGACUGUGGCACCAAUUUUGUAGGUGCGACCAAAGAACUCAAUUGUGUGUCUAGGUUUGGGAGAGACCCAAAGGUUCAGAACUUUACGAAUACUGAACAAAUUAUGUGGACUUUCAAUGUUCCUCACGCCUCCCACAUGGGUGGUGUUUGGGAGAGGAUGAUUGGUAUUAGUCGCAAAAUCCUUAAUGCCAUGCUUUUGAGUCAUAGGUCAUUGACGCAUGAUGUUUUGGUGACACUUAUGGCGGAAGUUACCGCAAUUAUCAACAACCGGCCGCUGGUUCCCCUUACCAGUGACCCUGAGAACUUACAACCACUGACUCCUGCACUUAUUUUGACACAAAAGGUGCCAGGAUGGAAGGACAUCAUGUUGCCAGUUCCGGACGGAACUCACCGUGCCCUGUGGAAACAGGUGCAGUCCUUGGCCAACCACUUUUGGAAAAGGUGGAAAGCUGAGUACUUAAGCCAGCUUCAAGCUAGAAGAAUCUGGCAAAGCCCACAGGACAACAUUGAGGUUAACAACGUUGUGUUGUUAAAGGACAAAGACUUGCCCCGCCAUGCGUGGCCCAUGGGCAUUGUAUUAAAGACCUUUCCUUGCCCGGAUGGUAAGGUCAGGAAAGUUCAAUUAAAGACUUGCAACAGAGACAAAGUGUCCAUUUUGGACAGACCAAUUAGUGACCUCGUGUUGCUUAUUGGAGAUGUUUAAAGUUCUAGUGUUUGUAUUGUCAUAUGUGCAAAGGUGUUUGUAUGUUUUUGAGUGGUAAAUUCCCACAUCCUGGGAAUUUAAGCGGGGAGUGUUCCGUCCCCCAGGACGAUGGUUUGCCUUACUUAUUGGUCGUUUGAUUGUUUUCCCUCCUUUGCAUUUUGUUUCAGCCUCUGGCUGCAAAAGCCCAGGAAAGGUGGCUUGAAGUCUGCAAGAGCUGGCUGCAGUUUUCUUUGCAAUGAUUGGUCAAAGAGUACAACAUCUUAGGACCGCCCUUUUUACCAGGGUCUAGUCUCCAUUUUAGAGUUUCAUUCUGGCUAUAGUCUUCCAACGUGCUGGAGCUGUGCAAGGCUAACUGGGACAAAUCAUCCUCAAAACCAGGCCAAUCUAAGCCUAUCCAAAUUAGAUAAGUAUUGAGUUAUACUGAUCUGGAAUAGGAAAUCUAGUUAGAGGAGCAGGGUUAUUCCAUCGCUUCUAGAACUAAUCUUUGCUGUAAAGAUAGGGAAGGAAAGAGUUUCUCCUUCUAAUAUAGACAGCGUGAUUAGGGUAUAGUGGUUUUAUAAUCACCUUUGCCUUCUGGAACCAGGGAUAAUUCUGCAACUAAAACCUAUGGAAAUUUGUUUCAUUUUCUGCAACUUUAAGAUCUGUGCCAGGUUUACAACCUUGUAUGAAUAAACAUCCUUUUUUGAAGUUCUCCAGACUCAGUCGUUCAAUAUUUUAGGACAGCUUAUAGGGAUUUGCAGUUCGCCCGGAUAAAGGACGGCACGUUUCAGCUUUAUAGUUUUUUUUUAUUGUCUGGCGGACGGCACAAUCAUCAACAAAAUCCCUACUAAUCCAAAAAUCCAGGCACUUCAGCCCUGCAAGCCUAACUCUGUACAAACUGCCAAUAUCCAAAUGACCAAAUGAUUUUCUUUUGGAUGGAGGAACUACUAAAUUCAUCUUCAGUUUCUCCUACUUUUAUUUCUUUUAAUGGGAUACAAAAAGGGUGAAACAGAAUUGACUCCUUGUUCAAAGCUUUCUCCAUUGUCAUAUUUUUCUAGGAGUUGGCAGUGUUGUUCCUACCAUGAUUUCCAACAUAAAGAAGAAAACCUUCAAACUCUCAGGUAGGUUUGGAUUACUCAUUUAUGCUGCUUGAACCCUGCCAUUCUGCUCUGUAACAGCACAGCAAGUACAAAUUGAGGAUCCCUCAUCCAGAUUUACAAAAUCAAAAAUACUCCAAAAUCAAAAAUUAUCCACAUGAAUGCCACAGUGAAUAACACUUUUGCUUUCUGCUGAUUCAAUCUGCAUAUUCUUUGUAUCAUGCAAAAAGUAUUUAAAAUAAAAGUAUGAAAUUACUUGAGGUUCUGUGUAUAAGAUGAAAAUUAAACAUAAAUGAAUUUCCUGUUUAGACUUGGGCCCCAUCUCAAAAAUAUCCCAUUAUGAGGUAAAAGGUUAAGGUAAAGGUUUCCCCUGACAUUAAGUCCAGUCGUGUCCGACUCUGCGGGUUGGUGCUCAUCUCCAUUUCUAAGCCGAAGAGCCGGCGUUGUCCAUAGACGCUUCCAAGGUCAUGUGGCCGGCAUGACUGC